rnacentral:rRNA from 1 species
CCUACGGGCGGCUGCAGUGGGGAAUAUUGGACAAUGGGGGGAACCCUGAUCCAGCCAUGCCGCGUGUGUGAAGAAGGCCCUCGGGUUGUAAAGCACUUUCAGUGAGGAAGAACGCCUGGUGGUUAAUACCCAUCAGGAAAGACAUCACUCACAGAAGAAGCACCGGCUAACUCCGUGCCAGCAGCCGCGGUAAUACGGAGGGUGCGAGCGUGAAUCGGAAUUACUGGGCGUAAAGCGCGCGUAGGUGGCUUGAUAAGCCGGUUGUGAAAGCCCCGGGCUCAACCUGGGAACGGCAUCCGGAACUGUCAAGCUAGAGGGCAGGAGAGGAAGGUAGAAUUCCCGGUGUAGCGGUGAAAUGCGUAGAGAUCGGGAGGAAUACCAGUGGCGAAGGCGGCCUUCUGGACUGACACUGACACUGAGGUGCGAAAGCGUGGGUAGCAAACAGGAUUAGAUACCCGAGUAGUC